UAAGCAGCCAGCAUGUCCCUGUUCCGUGGUGUGGAUUGCUCGCCAAGCAAAACAUGGGGCUGUAUGCCUAGGAUUUCUGUGUCAGUCUGGACCCAUCCAGGAAAAUGAGCCCACACAAGGCACUCCAUAUAGGCUGUGUGUGCAGGGAAUGGCCAGUCCAGUGUUGGAGGGCUGGAAGAGCAAAGGCAAUAUUGAAUAACCCUGCUUGGAUCCAAAAAGAUGGUGCAAAGGAUAUUAACUUCUCAAAACUCGGAGUCAUUUCCAAGGAUAGC